UCCGGUUUGUCACCGGCAGUCUCGCAUGAGUCCCCAACUAAAUGCUGGCAACAUGCGACGGGGGUUGCGCUCGUUGCGGGACUUAACCCAACAUCUCACGACACGAGCUGACGACAGCCAUGCACCACCUGUGAAGGUCCGGCCGAACCGACCCCGUGUUUCCACGGGUGCGACCUACAUGUCAAGCCCAGGUAAGGUGGGGAUGACGUAGACCUUGGACC
rnacentral:misc_RNA from 1 species